UACAGAGGUCUCAAGCGUUGUUCGGAUUCAUUGGGCGUAAAGGGUGCGUAGGUGGCGCCGUAAGUCGGGUGUGAAAUUUCGGAGCUUAACUCCGAAACUGCAUUCGAUACUGCGGUGCUUGAGGACUGGAGAGGAGACUGGAAUUCAUGGUGUAGCAGUGAAAUGCGUAGAGAUCAUGAGGAAGACCGUGGCGAAGGCGGGUCUCUGGACAAGUUCCGUGACACUGGAGGCACGGAAGGCCAGGGGAGCAAAACGGG
rnacentral:rRNA from 1 species